GACGAACGCUGGCGGCGUGCUUAACACAUGCAAGUCGAACGGAAAGGCCCUGCUUUCGUGGGGUGCUCGAGUGGCGAACGGGUGAGUAACAAGUGAGUAACCUGCCCUUGACUUUGGGAUAACUUCAGGAAACUGGGGCUAAUACCGGAUAGGAGCCCCUGCUGCAUGGUGGGGGUUGGAAAGUUUCGGCGGUUGGGGAUGGACUCGCGGCUUAUCAGCUUGUUGGUGGGGUAGUGGCUUACCAAGGCUUUGACGGGUAGCCGGCCUGAGAGGGUGACCGGCCACAUGAGGACUGAGAUACGGCCCAGACUCCUACGGGAGGCAGCAGUGGGGAAUAUUGCACAGUGAGCGGAAGCCUGAUGCAGCAACGCCGCGUGCGGGAUGACGGCCUUCGGGUUGUAAACCGCUUUCGCCUGUAACGAAGCGUGAGUGACGGUAAUGAGUAAAGAAGCACCGGCUAACUACGUG
rnacentral:rRNA from 1 species